rnacentral:rRNA from 1 species
CCUGGUUGAUGCUGCCAGUAGUCAUACGCUUGUCUCAAAGAUUAAGCCAUGCAUGUCUAAGUAUAAACAUAUUUGUACUGUGAAACUGCGAAUGGCUCAUUAUAUCAGUUAUAGUCUAAUCGAUUGUACCUUACUACUUGGAUAACCGUAGUAAUUCUAGAGCUAAUACAUGCAUGAAUACCAAACUGCUUGUCGGGCGGGUAGCAUUUAUUAGAUUGAAACCAAUGCAGUCUUCGGACUGGUAUUGUGUUGAAUCAUAAUAACUGUGCGGAUCGUGCUUUUGCGCGAUGAAUCGAUUGAGUUUCUGCCCUAUCAGCUUUGGAUGGUAGGAUAUGGGCCUACCAUGGCAUUAACGGGUAACGGGGAAUUAGGGUUUGAUUCCGGAGAGGGAGCCUUAGAAACGGCUACCACAUCCAAGGAAGGCAGCAGGCGCGUAAAUUACCCAAUCCUGAUACAGGGAGGUAGUGACAAUAAAUAACAAUGCUCUGGCUCUUCGAGUCGGGCAAUUGGAAUGAGUACAAUUUAAAUCCCUUAACGAGGAUCAAUUGGAGGGCAAGUCUGGUAGAAUACGUAACAUUAUACUUUAAAAGAGUUUCUACCUAUAUAUAAAACUUGAAGAAGAAUAAUUCGAUCUUAAACUUCGUCAGACUUGAAAGAAGACCGGUAAGUGCAUCUUGAAAAGGUGUUCUUGCCGGCAGUUGUGUUUAGCGCGAAAAUUCGUACUUAGUAGAGACAUCUUGGUACUUGGAACAAUGAUAGGUUUAACCAGCAAUAAGGUCAAAUGGUUUUUCCAUGAAGUCUUGGCUCCAAUUAUCUUCAAAAGCUAGGAGUUGAGACUUGUGUCGAUGAAAAUCCGUUUGCCUUGGGUUCGUUAAGUUCUUGAACAAUAGUUGAUAAUGUAGGCGUAUCAUAGUAACACAUUCUCGAUAAAGGCCUUGAUACUGGUUAGAAGGUGGAUCAAAAAUCGCCUUGUUCCGGUUGAGCCAAAGAGUGCGUAAGAUACAACAUCGCAAAAUGUUGAAGAGCCGGAGAGGUGUCAGAGAGCCAAAAGUGCUCCGCCCGGAAAGUGGAACCUCUAAGUCAUGUAGGAAUAAGACCUGGGCCCAUCCAAGAGUCGUUUGAAAAAUUCUUUGAAAGGGGGGUAAGAAGCGAUGCCAGAGUUGUUGUGCAAUACCACAAUCCCAGAGAAGAUGCUUGGGAGAUUCCAUAGUUGGACAGCCGUAUACACAGUUGACAUCCGAAGUGAGCCAGCGGUAUUUGUAGCGAAAGCCCAAUCCAUUGUGUUGUAGACGAAAGAGAAAGUCGGAAUAAACAGGUAAAGUAUCUUGGUGCAAUGUCUUUUCAAUAGACCAAAAGUUCGGAGGAAGAAU